GAUAUGAGGAUCACCUAGAUAGAACAUCUGUCAUUCCAUUGAUCACCAGGAUUGGUUCAGCUGAUCUGACUGAUAAGCAGGUGUCCUUUCCCCCAUUACCC
rnacentral:sRNA from 1 species